GUAGUACAGCGCUUAGACCGGUGGUCCUCAUAAUCCCUCGGUCGCGGGUUCGAGUCCCGCCCGGCCCA
rnacentral:tRNA from 1 species